rnacentral:misc_RNA from 1 species
GAUGAAGAACGCAGCGAAAUGCGAUAAGUAAUGUGAAUUGCAGAAUUCAGUGAAUCAUCGAAUCUUUGAACGCACAUUGCGCCCCCUGGUAUUCCGGGGGGCAUGCCUGUUCGAGCGUCAUUUCACCACUCAAGCCUCGCUUGGUAUUGGGCAUCGCGGUCCGCCGCGCGCCUCAAAUCGACCGGCUGGGUCUUCUGUCCCCUAAGCGUUGUGGAAACUAUUCGCUAAAGGGUGUUCGGGAGGCUACGCCGUAAAACAACCCCAUUUCUAAGGUUGACCUCGGAUCAGGUAGGGAUACCCGCUGAACUUAAGCAUAUCAAUAAGCGAGGA